UACAGAGGGGGCAAGCGUUGUUCGGAAUUACUGGGCGUAAAGGGCGCGUAGGCGGCCUGUUAAGUCGAACGUGAAAUCCCCAGGCUCAACCUGGGAACUGCGUCUGAUACUGGAUGGCUUGAAUCCGGGAGAGGGAUGUGGAAUUCCUGGUGUAGCGGUGAAAUGCGCAGAUAUCAGGAGGAACACCGGUGGCGAAGGCGGAUCUCUGAGCCAUUACUGACGCUGAGGAGCGAAAGCGUGGGGAGCGAACAGG
rnacentral:rRNA from 1 species